rnacentral:rRNA from 1 species
AGGACGAACGCUGGCGGCGUGCUUAACACAUGCAAGUCGAACGAGGUCCAACCGGUGGCAACACUGGUGAAGACCGAGUGGCGAACGGGUGAGUAACACGUGAGCAACCUGCCCCGAAGACUGGGAUACCACCGGGAAACCGGUGCUAAUACCGGAUAUCCCUACCGGGCCGCAUGACCUGGUAAGGAAAUGGAUUCCGCUUCGGGAGGGGCUCGCGUCCUAUCAGCUUGUAGGUGGGGUAAUGGCCUACCUAGGCUCCGACGGGUAGCUGGUCUGAGAGGACGAUCAGCCACACUGGGACUGAGACACGGCCCAGACUCCUACGGGAGGCAGCAGUGGGGAAUCUUGCGCAAUGGGCGAAAGCCUGACGCAGCAACGCCGCGUGAGGGACGAAGGCCUUCUGGGUUGUAAACCUCUUUCAGCAGGGACGAUGAUGACGGUACCUGCAGAAGAACGCCCGGCAACUACGUGCCAGCAGCCGC